rnacentral:rRNA from 1 species
UACGUAGGGCGCGAGCGUUAAUCGGAAUUACUGGGCGUAAAGCGUGCGCAGGCGGUUUUGUAAGCCAGAUGUGAAAUCCCGGGGCUCAACCUGGGAAUGGCAUUUGGGACUGCAAGGCUUGAGUGCGGCAGAGGAGACUGGAAUUCCUGGUGUAGCAGUGAAAUGCGUAGAUAUCAGGAGGAAUACCGAUGGCGAAGGCAGGUCUCUGGGCUGACACUGACGCUCAUGCACGAAAGCGUGGGGAGCAAACAGG